rnacentral:rRNA from 1 species
UCAAAAACAUUGUCUUAUGAAUAAAAUAUUAGAUAAUACCUGCCCAGUGACAUCUGUUCAACGGCCGCGGUAUUCUAACCGUGCAAAGGUAGCAUAAUCAUUUGCCUAUUAAUUGUAGGCUAGAAUGAACGGGUUAACGAAAUAAAAGCUGUCUCAAUUAAUUAACUAAAAAUUAUUCUCUACCCGAAGAAAGGUAGAUAAAUUCGAAGGACAAGAAGACCCUAUAGAGCUUAAUAUAAACUAUAGAACUACACUAUAUUAAUAUUCGGUUGGGGCGACCCAGGGCUAAUCAAUCACCCAUUAAAUGAAAGAUAAAUUAAUCCAAUUAAUGACCCUUUAAAGAUCAUAAGACCAAGCUACCUUAGGGAUAACAGGCUAAUCCCACUUAAGAGUCCUUAUCAACAGUGGGGAUUGGCACCUCGAUGUUGGCUUAGGGUACCUCUAUAGCGCAAAAGUUAUAUAAAGGUGGUUUGUUCAACCAAUAAUUCCCUACGUGAUCAUU